rnacentral:lncRNA from 1 species
UGUUGUAACUUGUAUACUAGAAAUAUGUCUUUUAUAUUUUAGUUGUAUUUGAUAAGGAAUAAAGAGAGACAUACCUCUUUUGAGUUGUUUUAAAUAAUAUAUUUGUUUGUUCCAAUAUUUUGUGUACUGUACACAUUGUAUUUGAGAUUUGAUAUGAUCGGUUGCGUAUUUGAAGCCUCUUUGAACAUGAACUAACGAUACAUAAUUUCGUUUCUACUUCCUUCAUACCACAAGACCGAGCAUGUAAGCCUCGUAAGAAGUUUAACUUUUGAUCAUACCUCCACAGUAUUCAAUGAUAGAUCCACAUGUUUAUGUGUAUGUUGACCACAUAUGCACUCAAAAAUGUCACUCCGUAGCUUAAUUCCACCAAUACUUCAAAAAUGGUGCCUCGAACCUCAAAAUAACUCUUCUUCUCCAUCAAAUGAGCAUGAACUGCAACCAAGGAGUCCACCUCUAAAAAUCAAAGAUCCUCCAAUAACCCCAACUCCCUCACCCAUUCGAUCCGAUCCCCCAUCGAUCAAUUUCCCCAACAAGGAACGAAAACUUUUUGAGGAAGUACUCAUAAAGAACUUUGAAACAAACGCAAGCUCCCUCUUUGUACCAAAAGACUAUGCGCCCGAACCUAGAAACUCCAAUUCACUUGACAACGGGCUAUCAAAGAUAGGAAAUAAUAAAAAUGAGAAGCCUCUCUUUUCUUUUUCAUCGCAAGAUCUUCUUUCAAAGGAUGAAGCAAGGAAACGAAUGCUAUCUUGGAGAAGAACAACUAAAAUUAGAAAACAUACACGUCAUAAUUCAAGCAGCACAUAACAAAGCCUCCUUUGUGUCCUUUUUUGUUCUUACUCCUUUGAAACAAACAUUAUGUCAAUUUGAUAUCCUUUUUUUAACAAUAUGUACUUACAUAAUACCUACUGUAUUUAAAUUGUGCCAAAUCAUUGCUAGUCUUAUUGCACCUCUAAAAAUCUUUGUUUAAUGUUAAGUUUAUAGAUAUGUUUAUAAAAAAUUAAUUGUAAUGAAAAAAAUGUAUUUUUGAAAUAAUAUGUAUAACAUAUUAUAUUGUAAGACUGUAAAUGAAUUAUUUCAUUUUUUGACAUUGUAGUAUUAUACAUUUUAUAAAUUUUAUUCGUGAAAUUUGUUUCCACAUCUUUAUAGGAGAUUGUCAAUAAAUUUGUACUAAAUAUAUUCAAUUUCAAAUUUA